ACCUUCUUCAUCAUCUCUCCUGCAGAUUCUCCUACCAUCAUUCAUCCUCCUCCUCCUCACUGUCCUCCUCCUCCAAGCACCUCCACAAACUUUGCCCCUCCUGUAAAAACUCCUCUUAUUCCUCCUCUCCCAGCAUCCAUUUAUCCUCCUCCUCCUCCCUCUCUCGUGGUCCCAGUUGUAGCAGGUCUGGUUUCUGUGGUCCUCCUGGUUCUGGUUCUGGGUUUGGUUCUGUUCCUCUGCUGGAAACUUAAAGACAAACAUGCUGCUGAUCCACAAGCUGUCUACUCUGAUGUGAGGACUCAAACUUCAGGUCCUGAGGAUGUUGCCUAUGGUCAGGUGGUCAUCAAAAGCAAGAAAAAGGCUGGCAAGAGAACAGGUAACCAUAGUAAUCACUACACUGACACAGCAUGGCACUCACUCAAUUCAAUUCAGUUUUAUUUAUGCAGCGCCAAAUCACAACAACAGUCACCUCAAGGCACUUUAUAUUGUAAGGUAGACAACAAUAAUACAUACAGAGAAAAACCCAACAAUCAUACGACCCCAUAUGAGCAAGCACUUUGGCGACAGUGGGAAGGAAAAACUCUCUUCUAACAGGAAGAAACCUCCGGCAGAACCAGGCUCAGGGAGGGGCGGGGCCAUCUGCUGCAACCAGUUGGGCGAGGGUUAAGGUUACUUUAUUUAUACCUGUAGGUAAAUUUGUGUAACAGAAAAAUGAUAGCAUCUGGUAUUGCUUUACAAACACAGACAUAGUAAAACCUGACAAACAGUAAUUAAACAAAAUGAAUUAAAUCAAAACAAUUAUUUAUUGAGUUCAGUGAUGGCAACAAGGACAAAGCUGUUUUUAUAACGCUUUGUCCUGCAUCUUGGAACUAGAAACCUCCAUCCUGAGGAAAGAAGCUAAAAUUCACCCCGUACAGGAUAGGAACCAAUUUUAAGAAGUGAUAAAGCCACAGACUCAAUCAAAGAACGAUAAAAUAAAGUUCAAAUUUUGCAGUCAAUGUGGAAAUGAACACGUUUCCUGAGACAGUAAGGCCGAUGGUGAGCCUUUUUAGAGACCAAUUUGCGAUUCUCAUCAAAGUUAAGUUUUUCAUUGAUUAUGGUCCCAAGUUAUUUAUAUGAUUGCACUUGCUCUAUUUUCUGAAUAAUAAUAAGGGUGUUAAGACACCCCUGGAGAGAACCUGUGGAGGAGAGCACUGGGUCAGACAGAACCCCAUUUAUUCUCACUCUUUGUGACCUGUCAGUUAAAAAAAUCGAAAAUCCAGCUCACCAGGUUUUUCCUAAUUUCAAACUGUUCUAAAAGUCUUUGAAUUAAAAUAUGGGGCUGUAUUGAUGAAAAGAAGUCCUGCAAAAGUCCCUUUGCUCUUUCGAUGUUUGAGAAUCAGAUUUAGUAGAGUCAAAAGCACAUCUUCCACUCCUCUGUUGGGCGUGUAUGCAAAUUGCAUUGGAUUGCAUUGUUGUUUUCUGAGGUGACCUUUGGGUGGUGCUGUACUUUGGUGUUCGCUCUCUCUGUGGUAGAGUAUCACUUCCUGUUCCAUUUCUAACACACAGUGGUGUUUUUGCGUAACUUAUGUCAUAGUCUUAAACAGAAGCCCCAGGUACACCACCAACCUGUUCAUGUGUCUAACCAUUUUUCACCUCUCUACGACACACCCGCCGGGGGUCAAACUCUGGCAAUUGGUGAUUCUGUUCUGACACGUGAAGUUUGAGACACCAGCAACCAUAGUCAAUUGUCUUCCAGGGGCCAGAGCAGGCGACAUUGAGGAAAAUUUAAAAUUGCUGGUGAGAGGAGUAGAAAUAUUUUCCUGCUAUUAUUUGCUGCUAUUUUU
ensembl:lncRNA